rnacentral:rRNA from 1 species
CACGCUGUAAACGAUGAAUGCUAGGUGUAGGGGGUAUCGACCCCCCCUGUGCCGGAGUUAACACAAUAAGCAUUCCACCUGGGGAGUACGGUCGCAAGACUGAAACUCAAAGGAAUUGACGGGGGCCCGCACAAGCAGUGGAGUAUGUGGUUUAAUUCGACGCAACGCGAAGAACCUUACCAAGGCUUGACAUCCUCCGAAUCGGAUCGAAAGGUUCGAGUGCCCUUCGGGGAGCGGAGAGACAGGUGG